rnacentral:rRNA from 1 species
UACGUAGGUGGCAAGCGUUAUCCGGAUUUACUGGGUGUAAAGGGCGUGUAGGCGGGGAAGCAAGUCAGAUGUGAAAACCACGGGCUCAACCUGUGGCCUGCAUUUGAAACUGUUUUUCUUGAGUGCUGGAGAGGCAAUCGGAAUUCCGUGUGUAGCGGUGAAAUGCGUAGAUAUACGGAGGAACACCAGUGGCGAAGGCGGAUUGCUGGACAGUAACUGACGCCGAGGCGCGAAAGCGUGGGGAGCAAACAGG